rnacentral:rRNA from 1 species
CAGUCGCCGCGGUAAUACGAAGGGUGCAAGCGUUAAUCGGAAUUACUGGGCGUAAAGGGUGCGUAGGCGGUGAGUUAAGUCUGUUGUGAAAUCCCCGGGCUCAACCUGGGAAUGGCAAUGGAUACUGGCUCGCUAGAGUGUGAUAGAGGAUGGUGGAAUUCCCGGUGUAGCGGUGAAAUGCGUAGAGAUCGGGAGGAACAUCAGUGGCGAAGGCGGCCAUCAGGAUCAACACUGACGCUGAAGCACGAAAGCGUGGGGAGCAAACAGGAUUAGAUACCCCUGUAGUCCCUGUCUCUUAUAC